UAUAGAGGGGAAUAGCCUUCCGAAAGGAAGAUUAAUACCCCAUAAGAUUGUAGCUUCACAUGGAGCAGCAAUUAAAGGAGCAAUCCGCUAUAGGAUGGGCCCGCGGCGCAUUAGCUAGUUGGUGAGGUAACGGCUCACCAAGGCGACGAUGCGUAGCCGACCUGAGAGGGUGAUCGGCCACAUUGGGACUGAGACACGGCCCAGACUCCUACGGGAGGCAGCAGUGGGGAAUAUUGCACAAUGGGGGAAACCCUGAUGCAGCAACGCCGCGUGAGUGAUGAAGGCCUUCGGGUUGUAAAGCUCUGUCUUUGGGGACGAUAAUGGCGGUACCCAAGGAGGAAGCCACGGCUAACUACGUGCCAGCAGCCGCGGUAAUACGUAAGUGGCAAGCGUUGUCCGGAUUUACUGGGCGUAAAGGGAGCGUAGGCGGACUUUUAAGUGGGAUGUGAAAUACUCGGGCUCAACCUGAGUGCUGCAUUCCAAACUGGAAGUCUAGAGUGCAGGAGGGGAAAGUGGAAUUCCUAGUGUAGCGGUGAAAUGCGUAGAUAUUAGGAAGAACACCGGUGGCGAAGGCGACUUUCUGGACUGUAACUGACGCUGAGGCUCGAAAGCGUGGGGAGCGAACAG
rnacentral:rRNA from 1 species